GACGAACGCUGGCGGCGCGCUUAACACAUGCAAGUCGAGCGAGAACCCAGGCUUCGGCCUGGGGGAAAGCGGCGAACGGGUGAGUAUCACGUGGGUAAUCUGCCCUCAACAUCGGGAUAGCCCGGGGAAACCCGGAUUAAUACCGAAUGGCCCAUCCGCUCUUCGGAGCGGCUGGAAAAGGUAGCUUCGGCCUCCAGUCGAGGAGGAGCCCGCGGCGGAUUAGCUUGUUGGUGAGGUAAUGGCUCACCAAGGCGACGAUCCGUAGCUGGUCUGAGAGGACGAUCAGCCACACUGGGACUGAGACACGGCCCAGACUCCUACGGGAGGCAGCAGUGGGGAAUCUUGCGCAAUGGGCGAAAGCCUGACGCAGCGACGCCGCGUGCGGGAAGAAGGCCUUCGGGUUGUAAACCGCUUUCAGGAGGGACGAAGCCACUCGGGUUAAUAGCCCAGAGGGUGACGGUACCUCCAGAAGAAGCCCCGGCUAACUAAGUGCCAGCCGCCGCCGUAAGAC
rnacentral:rRNA from 1 species